rnacentral:rRNA from 1 species
AGCGAACGCUGGCGGCAGGCCUAAUACAUGCAAGUCGAACGGCUCUUCGGAGCAGUGGCGGACGGGUGAGUAACACGUGGGAACGUGCCCUUUGGUACGGAACAACUGAGGGAAACUUCAGCUAAUACCGUAUGUGCCCCCAUUCUUAGCGGGAUGGGUGGGAAAGAUUUAUCGCCCUUGGAGCGGCCCGCGUUGGAUUAGCUAGUUGGUGGGGUAAAGGCCCACCAAGGCUACGAUCCAUAGCUGGUCUGAGAGGAUGAUCAGCCACACUGGGACUGAGACACGGCCCAGACUCCUACGGGAGGCAGCAGUAGGGAAUCCUGCGCAAUGGGCGAAAGCCUGACGCAGCCAUGCCGCGUGAAUGAUGAAGGUCUUAGGAUUGUAAAAUUCUUUCACCGGGGAAGAUAAUGACGGUACCCGGAGAAGAAGCCCCGGCUAACUUCGUGCCAGCAGCCGCCGUAA